rnacentral:misc_RNA from 1 species
GCCAUUCCUAGCUGGAUAUCAACUCCCUGUCCAAGUGCUUGCAGGCAAAGUGCUCGAAGAACUCCUUCAGCAAGGUCCACCGGAAGAUUUCUCCUAAAUUCAGCAGGCAACUGAGGAAGAACAUGUCUAACAGCACAAUCCAAAUAUCCUGCAGCUUUUACAAAAAUGUCAAUCGAGGCUCGCCUACUCUCUUCUGAUACUUUCGGUUGAUAACCAUCGGCAGAUGUUCUAG